UACAGAGGUCUCAAGCGUUGUUCGGAUUCAUUGGGCGUAAAGGGCGCGUAGGCGGUCAGCACAAGUCAGUUGUGAAGUCUCCGGGCUUAACUCGGAAAGGUCAACUGAUACUGUGCGACUAGAGUGCAGAAGGGGCAACUGGAAUUCUCGGUGUAGCGGUGAAAUGCGCAGAUAUCAGGAGGAACACCGGUGGCGAAGGCGGGUCUCUGGGCAACAACUGACGCUGAGGAGCGAAAGCGUGGGGAGCGAACAGG
rnacentral:rRNA from 1 species